rnacentral:lncRNA from 1 species
CAGUGGUAUGACCUAUCUCCUGCCUUCCUGUUUCAUAACCUUGAGGGGAGCAUAAGGGUAUAUCCCUCUUAACCCAAUCAAUACCAAGUGUAGGACGUCCCUGGAUUUGAUGAUGAACUCGCCGGUGGGGAACCCCUCAAACAUCUACUGAACCUUGUCCUCAGUUAACUAGUUGAAGAACUGCUCCAUCCUACAGCAUCCUUAGGUUGAGCAAACAUGUUUGGAUUGUAAGUCAUUCUUUUAUGGUGAUGGAAAGCUAUAUGGUCAUCCCACGGCCUUCGUGGAAACUCUUGUCGGUAUUGACCCCUUUGGAGAUGCUCUAACAACCAAAAUUGCAGCAGAAAAUUGCAACCCUCAAAGAAUCUAGACCCCUUCUAACAGCGUUGCAAGGCCCGGUACAUAUCUUCAAUGAUUAUAAGGACAAUGGUAUAUGUCUUCCCCUCGAUCCCCUCCAUAAAAGAUUUGGCCACCAUGGCAGCCUGGUAUGGAUUUUAUCCCCUUGGAUUGGGAAUACCAGCAUGCCCAAGAAACACGCAAUGAACACAAAGACCCUACGAUGAACCCAACCUAAGUAAGUGAUUUCGAACUUACCAUCAAAAAUACGAUAGAGCUACUAUGACUGUACUUUCAUAAAGGAAGUCAAAAGGUAUGUAGGAGUUCUUCAAGCACUCCAAAUCAUCAUUUUUCUUCAUCCUCAUCAUCUUAAGGAACCUUCUAGUGGUGUGAUUUUC